GAGAGAGAGAGAGAGAGAUACCAGAUGUUGAGCAGAACCAAAAUGCAGAAACAGCUAGAAAAUAAAUGACUUGUAGUUUGGAUAUCUGACUUCCGUCUUCUUCCUCUUCUUUUUCUACUUCUUUAGCUUAAGCUAUUUUAGAAACAGAAAAGCCUACUUCGAUGGCACUGAUCCGGAAUCCGAUGCCAUCAGGCAUAGAAAAGGAAGCACGAUUCUUUGAUGGAGUCCGAGGAGGCGAAGACGUGGUUGCACAAUAUUCUCUCACCAGUGAAGAGCAUCCUCAUGAAUAUUUUCACUGCGUCCAACCAGUUCUUGAUUUUAGCUCAUUGUUCGGAAAUCUCGGUGAAGCACGAUUCUUUGAUGGAGUCUGAGGAGGCAAAGACAUGGUCGCACAAUAUUCUCUCACCAGUGAUGAACGUCCUCAUGAUAUUCACUGCAUCCAACCAGUUCUUGAUUUUCAACUCGAGCACUUCUCAGUCCAUCUUGUUGAUCUGCGUUAACUUUAACGAUAAACAACAAAAAUCGUUAAAACAACAA